rnacentral:rRNA from 1 species
AGAGUUUGAUCCUGGCUCAGAUUGAACGCUGGCGGCAGGCUUAACACAUGCAAGUCGAGCGGUAACAGGAGAAGCUUGCUUCUCGCUGACGAGCGGCGGACGGGUGAGUAAUACUUAGGAAUCUGCCCAGUAGUGGGGGAUAGCUCGGGGAAACUCGAAUUAAUACCGCAUACACCCUACGGGGAAAAGGGGGCGCUUGCGCUCUCGCUAUUGGAUGAGCCUAAGUCGGAUUAGCUAGUUGGUGGGGUAAAGGCCUACCAAGGCGACGAUCUGUAGCUGGUCUGAGAGGAUGAUCAGCCACACCGGGACUGAGACACGGCCCGGACUCCUACGGGAGGCAGCAGUGGGGAAUAUUGGACAAUGGGGGCAACCCUGAUCCAGCCAUGCCGCGUGUGUGAAGAAGGCCUUUUGGUUGUAAAGCACUUUAAGCAGUGAAGAAGACCUAACGGUUAAUACCCGUUAGCGAUGACAUUAGCUGCAGAAUAAGCACCGGCUAACUCUGUGCCAGCAGCCGCGGUAAUACAGAGGGUGCAAGCGUUAAUCGGAAUACUGGGCGUAAAGCGAGCGUAGUGGCUUGAUAAGUCAGAUGUGAAAUCCCCGGGCUUAACCUGGGAACUGCAUCUGAUACUGUCAGGCUAGAGUAGGUGAGAGGGAGGUAGAAUUUCAGGUGUAGCGGUGAAAUGCGUAGAGAUCUGAAGGAAUACCGAUGGCGAAGGCAGCCUCCUGGCAUCAUACUGACACUGAGGUUCGAAAGCGUGGGUAGCAAACAGGAUUAGAUACCCUGGUAGUCCACGCCGUAAACGAUGUCUACUAGUCGUUGGGGAACUUGAUUCCUUAGUGACGCAGCUAACGCAAUAAGUAGACCGCCUGGGGAGUACGGCCGCAAGGUUAAAACUCAAAUGAAUUGACGGGGGCCCGCACAAGCGGUGGAGCAUGUGGUUUAAUUCGAUGCAACGCGAAGAACCUUACCUGGUCUUGACAUAUCUAGAAUCCUGCAGAGAUGCGGGAGUGCCUUCGGGAAUUAGAAUACAGGUGCUGCAUGGCUGUCGUCAGCUCGUGUCGUGAGAUGUUGGGUUAAGUCCCGCAACGAGCGCAGCCCUUUUCCUUAGUUACCAGCGGUUUGGCCGGGGACUCUAAGGAUACUGCCAGUGACAAACUGGAGGAAGGCGGGGACGACGUCAAGUCAUCAUGGCCCUUACGACCAGGGCUACACACGUGCUACAAUGGUAGGUACAGAGGGCAGCUACACAGCGAUGUGAUGCGAAUCUCAAAAAGCCUAUCGUAGUCCAGAUUGGAGUCUGCAACUCGACUCCAUGAAGUAGGAAUCGCUAGUAAUCGCGGAUCAGAAUGCCGCGGUGAAUACGUUCCCGGGCCUUGUACACACCGCCCGUCACACCAUGGGAGUUGAUUGCACCAGAAGUGGGUAGCCUAACUUUUAGAGGGCGCUCACCACGGUGUGGUUGAU